rnacentral:rRNA from 1 species
GAUGAACGCUAGCUGGAGGCUUAAUACAUGCAAGUCGAGCGGGAUUCAGUUGUCUUCGGAUGAUUGAUGAGAGCGGCGGACGGGUGAGUAACGCGUACACGACCUACCUUUGACUGGGGGAUAGCCCCGGGAAACUGGGAUUAAUACCGCAUAUUAUUCUAAUUAAUAAAGAGUUGGAAUGAAAGUUCAGGCGGUCAAAGAUGGGUGUGCGUCUGAUUAGCUAGUUGGUAAGGUAACGGCUUACCAAGGCGAUGAUCAGUAGGGGGCGUGAGAGCGUGAUCCCCCACACGGGUACUGAGACACGGACCCGACUCCUACGGGAGGCAGCAGUAAGGAAUAUUGGACAAUGGCCGCAAGGCUGAUCCAGCCAUCCAGCGUGCAGGAAGACGGCCCUACGGGUUGUAAACUGCUUUUAUCAGGGAAGAAACCUUUGGAUUUACUCCGAAGCUGACGGUACCUGAAGAAUAAGCACCGCUAACU